rnacentral:rRNA from 1 species
GACAGAGGGUGCAAACGUUGUUCGGAAUUACUGGGCGUAAAGCGCGCGUAGGCAGCAGCGUGUGUCGGGCGUGAAAUCCCACGGCUCAACCGUGGAAGUGCACUCGAAACUGCGCAGCUAGAGUCUCGGAGAGGAAGGCGGAAUGCUUGGUGUAGAGGUGAAAUUCGUAGAUAUCAAGCGGAACACCGGUGGCGAAGGCGGCUCUGGGCGAUGACUGACGC